rnacentral:rRNA from 1 species
UACGUAGGUGGCAAGCGUUGUCCGGAUUUAUUGGGUUUAAAGGGUGCGUAGGCGGCAUUUUAAGUCAGUGGUGAAAUACUUCAGCUUAACUGGAGAGGUGCCAUUGAUACUGGGAUGCUUGAGUACUGAUGAGGUAGGCGGAAUGGACGGUGUAGCGGUGAAAUGCUUAGAUAUCGUCCAGAACACCGAUAGCGAAGGCAGCUUACUAAGGAGUAACUGACGCUGAGGCACGAAAGUGUGGGGAGCAAACAGG